rnacentral:rRNA from 1 species
AGUGAACGCUGGCGGUAGGCCUAACACAUGCAAGUCGAACGGCAGCACCGUAAGAGCUUGCUCUUACGGGUGGCGAGUGGCGGACGGGUGAGGAAUACAUCGGAAUCUACUUUUUCGUGGGGGUUAACGUAGGGAAACUUACGCUAAUACCGCAUACGACCUACGGGUGAAAGCAGGGGAUCUUCGGACCUUGCGCGAUUGAAUGAGCCGAUGUCGGAUUAGCUAGUUGGCGGGGUAAAGGCCCACCAAGGCGGCGAUCCGUAGCUGGUCUGAGAGGAUGAUCGCCGACAUGGGAGGUGAGACACGGUCCAGAGGACUACGGUAGGGAGCAGUGGGGAAUAUUGGACAAUGGGCGCAAGCCUGAUCCAGCCAGACCGCGUGGGAUGAGAAGGCGUUCGGGUUGUAAAGCCCUUUUGUUGGUAAUGAAAAGCAGCAGGUUAAGACCCCGCUGUUCUGACGGUACCCAAAGAAUAAGCACCGGCUAACUUCGUG